GAUGAACGCUAGCUACAGGCUUAACACAUGCAAGUCGAGGGGCAGCAUUGGAGUAGCAAUACUUCAGAUGGCGACCGGCGCACGGGUGAGUAACACGUAUCCAACCUGCCGCUUACUCGGGGAUAGCCUUUCGAAAGAAAGAUUAAUACCCGAUGGUAUAAAGAGUUCGCAUGUUCUCUUUAUUAAAGAAUUUCGGUAAGCGAUGGGGAUGCGUUCCAUUAGAUUGUUGGCGGGGUAACGGCCCACCAAGUCUACGAUGGAUAGGGGUUCUGAGAGGAAGGUCCCCCACAUUGGAACUGAGACACGGUCCAAACUCCUACGGGAGGCAGCAGUGAGGAAUAUUGGUCAAUGGGCGAGAGCCUGAACCAGCCAAGUAGCGUGAAGGAUGACUGCCCUAUGGGUUGUAAACUUCUUUUAUAAGGGAAUAAAGUGAGGGACGUGUCCCUUUUUGUAUGUACCUUAUGAAUAAGGAUCGGCUAACUCCGUGCCAGCAGCCGCGGUAAUG
rnacentral:rRNA from 1 species